UACGUAGGGCGCGAGCGUUGUCCGGAUUUAUUGGGCGUAAAGAGCUCGUAGGCGGCUUGUCGCGUCGACUGUGAAAACCCGCGGCUCAACCGUGUGGUCUGCAGUCGAUACGGGCAGGCUAGAGUUCGGUAGGGGAGACUGGAAUUUACGGUGUAGCGGUGAAAUGCGUAGAUAUCUGGAGGAACACCGGUGGCGAAGGCGGCGUCCUGGACCAACACUGACACUGAUGAGCGAAAGCCAGGGGAGCAAACGGG
rnacentral:rRNA from 1 species